AGCCGGGCCUGCGCGGUAGUGGGACCCGACCCUGUCUCCAGUGGGCGUCUUGGGCCCCGGCUCUAUUCUGGGCUGCGGGCCUGGGAAGGGCUCGCCGGGUGCCAAAUGAGCUGUCCUAACUCUGCGGGGCUGCAGCUUCCUGCAUGAUGCUGGGGAGCUUGGCGCCUGACCCAGGAUCUAGAAGGCACUCUGGGCAGGCCGCGCUCCGCCCACGAAGUGAGCCGCUUUUUGCAGCACCAGGCGAACACUUACACCAGUGCUUUGUAAAGGAAUCUUAUUGUCCACCCCGUGUCUUGGCAAAAGAACAGUGAUCACACAGAUUCCUACUUGGGCUCUUUCCUUUAAUCUUCGGAGGCUGAGUUUGCCCAACUCAGGUUUAACCACCAAGGACUCUGAGAGCUGGCAGGUCUGAGUAACCCUGGUAACAAUUCUCUUCACCUUAUCAAAACCUGAGCUAAAACCAAUGCAUCAGCUGAUGAUGACAGCAGAGAGUGGCAGGGCUGAGGACCCAAAGUCAUUUCCCAGGCUGGCGGAGAAUAAACUGCCAGGGAGAAGAAUGAGAAGACAGGAGACAAACUGUUUGGAAAGCUAAAUCUUCCCUCUUAAUGAAUAAAGGUUUUUGCCUUGUCUUAAAGUUUCUGAGUCCUAAUUUUGGCAAAAUAAAUAACUUAUGGUAAUCUGGAAUUGUAUUUUGUAAUAUUAAGUGUUUUGAACCUCUAACAUUUACUUCCCAAAAUCAAACUUCAGUUUCAAAAUUGUCUCUCUUGACCCCUAGCUUUUGGAUGCUACAGAAGGCCCCUGAAGCAUCCAGAAGAGAGGUAAACAGGAUUAUUUAACAUGUUUAGGUACAUGGGAUUGGCCAAAUGGUGUUUAAUGAUCUUCAGGUUAUAUUUUAGUGAAUAAUAUUAAUAUAUUUUCCAAAAUUGUAUGGGAUUUCUAAAAUUCUAAUGUCUGAGUAUAUGCUAGAAAUCAUAAUUAAGGUUAUUAUGUUAAGUUAUUGUAAAACACAGAAAUAAUAAAAUUUGUCAGUCAUGUUCUUGACUAACUACCUUGGACAUUUCACCAUUCAAAAUCGUCUUGUUUUAAUCCUCUUUAAAGGAUGGUUUAUAAUCAGCUAUAGGACUUUGACACAUGCUCUCAAAUGCAAGUUUCUGAUAACUUUGGAGAUUAUGACAUUGGAAUAAAGGAAAAAUGUACAGGACUCAUGAAGAGCUAAAAUAUUCAUGAAUAUCAAGCAAAACAAGAGUUAACAAAAUGGACUUUUUAACCUUUUUGCUUAAAAUGUUGCUGAUCCUUAUUUUGUUUUUCAGAGUCAAGGAAACUUAUUUUAAGCUAUUUAUAGCCUCUAAUAAUUAUGUAAGGUAUACUUCUGUAAAUAAAAUUCAGAGCAUAUUUAUUUGUUUCUCUCUGGUUCCUCUAGAACUUGGAAAGUAUUUGUGAGUAUUCUUAACUCAUGGCAAUAUAAUUAUUUGCAUCAGCACAAUGAGAAUCAUUUUCUUUUACAAGAGGACACAAUUGGAGAAACUGGUUGUUUUCUCAAGGUUUUGACUAAAGGCUGUGCUUCCCUUUAAGGAAUCGAGCUUGACUUGCAGAGCCAAUAAAAGCCCCUUGGGAAAACUGCCUCAUACUUUGUCUACACAGCCCCCGAACAGGGUUCCUAACCUGUGGUGAGUAAAGAAUAUCACUUUCUACAGGCCCA
rnacentral:lncRNA from 1 species